CCUACGGGCGGCAGCAGUGGGGGAUAUUGCACAAUGGGGGGAACCCUGAUGCAGCUACGCCGCGUGGGUGAAGAAGCGCCUCGGCGCGUAAAGCCCUGUCAGCAGGGAAGAAAAUGACGGUACCUGAAGAAGAAGCCCCGGCUAACUACGUGCCAGCAGCCGCGGUAAUACGUAGGGGGCAUGCGUUAUCCGGAUUUACUGGGUGGAAAGGGGGCGCAGACGGCGAUGCAAGCCAGGAGUGAAAGCCCGGGGCCCAACCCCGGGACUGCUCUUGGAACUGCGUGGCUGGAGUGCAGGAGGGGCAGGCGGAAUUCCUGGUGUAGCGGUGAAAUGCGUAGAUAUCAGGAGGAACACCGGUGGCGAAGGCGGCCUGCUGGACUGCAACUGACGUUGAGGCCCGAAAGCGUGGGGAGCAAACAGGAUUAGAUACCCCAGUAGUC
rnacentral:rRNA from 1 species